rnacentral:lncRNA from 1 species
UUUUCUUUUUCUCCUUUAAAAUCGUUAUCACCUCUAACAUAUUUUUUUUAUAUUAAAAUUUUUUUUUAACCCAAGCCCGAAUAUUUAACAACAUGCCACUUAUCUACUAUUUAACUAACUAAUAACAGCCUUAGCUAGCAAAUCCACGUGUCAAAUUGUUGGUUCCCCACGACAAAUUCUUGCUAACCACCGUAACUGUUUAUGUUGGCCUGCAGCUUCCAAUCUGCGAUUACUUCUUCUGCUACUGCAACACACUUCUUUCCAUGAAAGGCGUCUUCUCCGUUGAAGGUUUAUUCUUCUAGUUUCUCGUAGAAUCACUCUUCCCUGUUGAAUGUUCAUUAUUAUGCUGUAAAAUAGCAUUGAUCUUCCGAGAAGGACAUCAAUCCCUAAAUUCAACAUAAAACGGCAGCACAACAAGCGCAUCGAGAGGGAGGGAGGCUUCUAGCGGAUAAGAAAGCAUCUCAGAAUGACUGCUUUUUAAAGAGGGAAUAAGGCACAGAUGCGUUGGUCCCCUCUUUUGCGCUUCCUCUCCGGAAAAUGCACAAAACUCAGACUCAAAUCGAGGAAUAAACUAAGGCCUCGCUGAGUGACACUCACAGUCACAGACUAUGGACGGAAGGGGGGUUUUCACUCGAUGAGACGUGCAGCCACCUGGAAACGUGUUCGAGAAAUUGGACCGGCAGGUAGAAAGGCAGGUCAAAGCUGGUUUUUUUAUUUUUAUUUUUUAAAGCCUCGAACACAGAGGAGGAAUAUGUUCCUCAGAGCCCAAAUACUACGUGGUCAAUGAAAAACCGACUGAUA